GCUAAGAGAGGCCCUUCACAUCCACGCAUUUCGUCGGCUUCCAGCCGCGUUGGGCCCCUCUCCUGUAGAUUUCCCUCUCGGCUUCUGCGAAGCCCCCCCUUCCUUUUUCCCCGCAGAUUCCCCAAACCUUCUCCCUUGGGGAUGGCAGCGGCCGAGCCGCCCCAAGCGCCCUGCCGGACACUGUUAUCCUCCCUUAGGGGUGGCAUUGGCCGUGCCUCCCCGGGCGAGAUGCAGUGCACCCAGCACCCCCUCCCAAGAUGGCACUGGCCACGCUACAGGGACCCCAUUUUCCCGCCGUAACCCUUCUCUUCCGCCCACGUUUCAUUGCCAGCCCCUCCCCUCCCCCAAUGGCCCUGCACCAUCCUGCAGCGGGCCAGCCCCUGUUGGGGGGGAGGUGAGUUUGGAUUAAUCCCUCAGUCCUUCUUCUGGCCCCCCUCUGAUGGGAGGGAUUGCUGUAAUUGAACUGAAAGCCUGCUAGGUAAUGCUUGUUUUAAAGUACAGAUUUAAUAAAGUUACACAGAAAGCAAAAAUUAAAUAUUGAUAAAUAAUCUUUAUAAUAACAUUUUAAAAUAUUUUAAAAUCUAUGAUGGGAGAAAUUUCUGUGAUCUUUUUCCAGUCCCACAGUGACAAAGAAUUCUAUAAAGCAAAUUACAACUGAAUAUUUUCAGCCUUUAAAAAUAAGUUCAUCUUCCCCAGCCCAUGCAGUUGCCAAGAGAGGGCUUUAGUAGUCCAGGCCUGAGGAAGGAGGGUGUGUACCUGUGCCUUUGCAUAAAACAUUUGAGAAAAGGGCAAGCUUGCUACUAGGAAGUGCAGCAUGACAACACCUCACCUCCAAUCAAGUGGCAAGAAAGAAACCUCCACGGAUGAACGGCAAAGAAGAGUCCACUGACAGACCUUGGGAGGGGCCAGGGCUGCCUGAGGCAACCCCCAGGGGUACAAAAAGCGGAGCAGCCAAUUUAUAGAUGAGCUCAUGGCUGAGGGGUUGCAAACUCCCAGCAUUGCACCGUCCUUUUUCCUUAUUCAGUCCUUUGUUGUAUUUUGUUAAAGUUUUUAGUAAACCUUUAAAAUCCUUAAAA